rnacentral:rRNA from 1 species
CGCCCCGGGCGGCCCGCCGGCGGACAAACCAAACUCUUUUUCCCCCGUUGAUUAGCAGAGUGUCUUAUUUAAUAAGUCAAAACUUUCAACAACGGAUCUCUUGGUUCUGGCAUCGAUGAAGAACGCAGCGAAAUGCGAUAAGUAAUGUGAAUUGCAGAAUUCAGUGAAUCAUCGAAUCUUUGAACGCACAUUGCGCCCAUUAGUAUUCUAGUGGGCAUGCCUGUUCGAGCGUCAUUUCAACCCCUUUGCACAGCUUAUUGUUGGGAAUCCACGCCUGUGGUUCCUCAAAGACAUUGGCGGAGUGGCAGUAGUCCUCUGAGCGUAGUAAUUCUUUAUCUCGCUUUUGUUAGGUGCUGCCCCCCCGGCCGUAAAACCCCCAAUUUUUUCUGGUUGACCUCGGAUCAGGUAGGAAUACCCGCUGAACUUAAGCAUAUCAAUUAAGCGGAGGAA